AUGGACUGGACAUGGAGGAUGUUCUUCUUGGAGGCAGCAGCUACAGGUGCCCAUUCCCAGGUGCAGUCUGGAGCUGAGGUGAAGAAGGCUGGGGCCUCAGUGAAGGUCUCCUGCAAGACUUCUGGAUAAACUUUCACUGACUACUACAUGCACUGGUGUGACAGACCCCUGGACAAGGGCUUCAGUGGAUGGGACAUAUUUAUCCUGAAGAUGGUGAAAUAAGCUACACACAGAAAUUCCAGGGCAGAGUCACCAUUACCAUGGACACAUCCACAAGCACAGCCUACAUGGAGCUGAGAAGCCUGAGAUUUGACAUGGCUGUGUAUUACUGUGUGAGAGACACAGUGUGA